rnacentral:lncRNA from 1 species
CACGAGUGGUAGGGAGCAAGAUGGCAGCCUCGUUACAAGCCGCAGCUACACUGAUGCAACCCACCAAGGUGGGUGUGGUACCCGCUCGCAGCAGCAGCCUGCAGCUGAGGUCUUCACAGAGCGUUUCGAAGGCUUUUGGUGUCGACUCAGCUGGUGCUAGGAUCUCUUGCACUUUGAAUAAUGACUUGAAGGAUUUGGCUCAGAAAUGUGUUGAUGCUACCAAGAUCGCUGGCUUUGCCCUCGCCACUUCUGCUCUCGUCGUUUCGGUCUGUCUAUCAUCUCUUACUAUGUUUUCCUUUUGCUUCUAUUUACUACUAUCGAUUAUUAUUUUUUUAGUACAUAUGUGACAGCAUAAUGAUUUUGUAACAUGUGUUGUAUUAUUUCUUGGUAUGUUUAGUUUCGAUUUUCACUUGUCAACGCAAAAGUGUACUAAAUGCUCCUAGUCAUUAAUUUAUCCCCAUCAUGUUGUUCUGUUCUGAAUUAUGCCGAUACACUACUAUAAAUAUUUGGAGACGGGUUGUGGCUCUUUUCAAUUGACGGAGAAGGCAACAAUUAUCAGGCGCCAAUAAAUGUUCUCUCACUCUCAGAGUUUAGGCCGUCAACAGACCAAAUUUCAAUUUUAAUUUGUUAUAAUUGCUGUUACUAUAACUAAAUCAUCGAAGAAUUAGUUUAAAGAUAGUGAAAAUGUUGUUGGGAAAGGACUUUAUGAUCUGACAUUGUUGAAUAAUUGCUUGUUUCCUCAGGG